GGAGAGAUGGCCGAGUGGUUGAAGGUGCUCGCCUGGAAAGUGAGUGUACUCUUCACGGGGUACCGAGGGUUCGAAUCCCUCUCUCUCCG
rnacentral:tRNA from 1 species